rnacentral:rRNA from 1 species
AGGACGAACGCUGGCGGCGUGCUUAACACAUGCAAGUCGAGCGGAAAGGCCCUUCGGGGUACUCGAGCGGCGAACGGGUGAGUAACACGUGAGUAACCUGCCCCUAGCUCUGGGAUAGCUCCGGGAAACCGGGAUUAAUACCAGAUACGACCACUUUAGACAUCUGUCGUGGUGGAAAGGAUUCCGGCUAGGGAUGGGCUCGCGGCCUAUCAGCUUGUUGGUGGGGUAACGGCCUACCAAGGCGACGACGGGUAGCCGGCCUGAGAGGGCGACCGGCCGACACUGGGACUGAGACACGGCCCAGACUCCUACGGGAGGCAGCAGUGGGGAAUAUUGCGCAAUGGGCGAAAACCUGACGCAGCGACGCCGCGUGGGGGAUGAAGGCCUUCGGGUUGUAAACCCCUUUCAGCAGGGACGAAGCGAAAGUGACGGUACCUGCAGAAGAAGCGCCGGCUAACUACGUGCCAGCAGCCGC